UACGUAGGGUGCAAGCGUUGUCCGGAAUUAUUGGGCGUAAAGAGCUCGUAGGCGGUCUGUCGCGUCUGCUGUGAAAACUCAGGGCUUAACCCUGAGCUUGCAGUGGGUACGGGCAGACUAGAGUGCGGUAGGGGAGACUGGAAUUCCUGGUGUAGCGGUGAAAUGCGCAGAUAUCAGGAGGAACACCGGUGGCGAAGGCGGGUCUCUGGGCCGUAACUGACGCUGGAGGAGCGAAAGCAUGGGGAGC
rnacentral:rRNA from 1 species